UAACACGUGGUCAACCUUCCCUACAGUGGGGGAUAACUAGCCGAAAGGUUAGCUAAUACCGCAUACGAUCUAUGAGAGGCAUCUCUUAUAGAUGAAAGGAGCAAUCCGCUGAAGGAUGGGACCGCGUCCCAUUAGUUAGUUGGUGGGGUAAUGGCCUACCAAGACUCCGAUGGGUAGCUGGUUUGAGAGAGCGACCAGCCACACUGGGACUGAGAAACGGCCCAG
rnacentral:rRNA from 1 species